GACGAACGCUGGCGGCGUGCCUAAUACAUGCAAGUCGAACGCACUCUCGUUUAGAUUGAAGGACCUUGCUCCUGAUUGAUAAACAUUUGAGUGAGUGGCGGACGGGUGAGUAACACGUGGGUAACCUGCCCUAAAGUGGGGGAUAACAUUUGGAAACAGAUGCUAAUACCGCAUAAAACCUAACACCGCAUGGUGUAGGGUUGAAAGAUGGUUUCGGCUAUCACUUUAGGAUGGACCCGCGGUGCAUUAGUUAGUUGGUGAGGUAAAGGCUCACCAAGACCGUGAUGCAUAGCCGACCUGAGAGGGUAAAUCGGCCACACUGGGACUGAGACACGGCCCAGACUCCUACGGGAGGCAGCAGUAGGGAAUCUUCCACAAUGGACGAAAGUCUGAUGGAGCAACGCCGCGUGAGUGAAGAAGGUUUCGGAUCGUAAAACUCUGUUGUUGGAGAAGAAUGUAUCUGAUAGUAACUGAUCAGGUAGUGACGGUAUCCAACCAG
rnacentral:rRNA from 1 species